rnacentral:rRNA from 1 species
GAUGAACGCUGGCGGCGUGCUUAACACAUGCAAGUCGAACGGAAAGGCUCCUGCUUGCAGGGGUACUCGAGUGGCGAACGGGUGAGUAACACGUGGGUGAUCUGCCCUGCACUUCGGGAUAAGCCUGGGAAACUGGGUCUAAUACCGGAUAGGACGAUGGUUUGGAUGCCAUUGUGGAAAGUUUUUUCGGUGUGGGAUGAGCUCGCGGCCUAUCAGCUUGUUGGUGGGGUAAUGGCCUACCAAGGCGUCGACGGGUAGCCGGCCUGAGAGGGUGUACGGCCACAUUGGGACUGAGAUACGGCCCAGACUCCUACGGGAGGCAGCAGUGGGGAAUAUUGCACAAUGGGCGCAAGCCUGAUGCAGCGACGCCGCGUGGGGGAUGACGGCCUUCGGGCUGUAAACUCCUUUCGCUAGGGACGAAGCGCAAGUGACGGUACCUGGAGAAGAAGCACCGGCUAACUACGUG